rnacentral:rRNA from 1 species
GAUAAUGGCUCAGGAUGAACGCUGGCGGCGUGCUUAACACAUGCAAGUCGAACGAAGCACUUAAGAUUGACUCUUCGGAUGAUUUCUUUUGUGACUUAGUGGCGGACGGGUGAGUAACGCGUGGGUAACCUGCCUCACACAGGGGGAUAACAGUUAGAAAUGAUUGCUAAUACCGCAUAACCCGAUAGGAUCGCAUGAUCCAGACGGAAAAGAUUUAUCGGUGUGAGAUGGACCCGCG